GAUUUUCGAGAUUCCGAGGCAAUGAAAAAUGGAGUCCACAGAUGAUCCCCUCUUUGAUUCAUCCUUGUGGUUGUGCUUACGUAGGGUUCCAGUGUGUAUCCUUGGUCUAUGGACACUUCUAAAGGAGUGUCAGUUUAUGUGGGAAAUUGGUUAAUGUUGAUUGGGAGGUGUCUUCUUAUGAAUCUGUAUGCAUUCAGAUUGACAAGAAUAAACAGAUCUGUCCCACAUCUUGGACUCUGCAGGCCGGGAACUUUUCAUUUAAACCCCUUCGUUCCUGCUGCUACAAGUUAUGGAAGAAGAAAUGCUGAUGAAACAGGGUAUGGAGAUCCUACAAGAAGAACCUUUGGUUGUUCCACUGCUUGCUAAUGCUGCACACAGUCCUAAUGAAGAAGAGGGCAAAGAGGUUGAUUGUACGUUUGAACAACAUUAUUUGGUAUGCUAAUUCCAAACUUUGGAAGUUCAGAUGGGCUAUCCACAAAGUUCAAGGGUCUUUUUUUUUUUUUUUGGAAUAUAAGAAUGGUUAGUGGCACAAACCUAGCCAUCUGACUUUCGCAUCUAAUGACAAGACGGGCUUGUGACCUUGUAACAG
rnacentral:lncRNA from 1 species